CACAAAUGGAAUGCAGUGGAAAAUGAAGAUCAAGGUGCUGAAGUCAUUCUCGAUGAAGGAGCAAGGAAAACAGAAAAUUUAGUACAAACUUGCUUGCAGAUAUUUAGAUUAUAUUUCUGGAGAGAAAGUGAACAUGUUUGAAGGAUUGUGGGCACUAACUGCAUAGAUGACCUUCAGGUAUGAUCUUAACACCAUCCUCAAUUUUUCUUUAUUAACUUUUAUUCAAAAUUUAUGGUCUUUAAUUCAUUCUGUAAAACUCUACCCUCUUUCCGAAAAAUUCUUUUUACAGAAAUGAACGAUACAUCACGAGGUGUCAUUCUUAACUUCAAACGUAGGUACACAACCUUUGAUUUUGUUUCUUUAAUUUUUAUAUCCUAUUUGAUAAGAAGUAACAUGCUAGAAAAAAAGAAGAAAACCAGGAUUUAUUUCUUGUAUUAUUAGCAAAUCUAUAUAGGCAAUUAUAUAUAUUUUUUCAAAUGCGUAAAGAAAUGACGGGACAUAAGCCCACCUUGAGGGUUGCGUAAUAUCACUGCCCGUUAAGAAGAGAAGCUAUAAGUUCAAGGCCGUGACUAACGUCAGUGGUCAGUUUGUUUACUAGCGUGUUCAGUCACCAGCAGUGUUGACGUACUGGAACCUUUGGCCAGGACGUUUUGGUUUAUCUUGCUUGGCCUCUACGAUACACUUCAUCUUAAUGAUGGUGACGACAAGGCAGAAGGACAGCAUGGUGAUCGUUUGCAACUAUAAAUGUCUCCAGACACCGAGCGGCCCUCGUCAGGCUGGGUAGAGGCCUGCUGCGCCACCCACGGUUACGACACCUCCUCCCCACAACGCGCUCCAACCAACCCAUGCCACACGUCACAGAAAUGUGGUCAGACCACUUAGGGCCCCGAGGACCGACCGUUACCAACACAGUGUGAUCCCCUCCAUGGUGCGAGCUAUAAACAACUAAGUUAAUGUUCUAAUCUUAAGCCUCCCCCCAAUCCCCCAUAUGUAUAUUUUCAGUAUGUGUACUGCAAUUCCUAAUAAACCGUAUAUUAUUA